UACAGAGGUGGCAAGCGUUGUUCGGAAUUACUGGGCGUAAAGGGCGCGUAGGCGGUCCUACAAGUCCCGCGUGAAAGCCCCCGGCUCAACUGGGGAACUGCGCGGGAAACUGUAGGGCUUGAGUUCGGGAGAGGGAAGCGGAAUUCCGGGUGUAGCGGUGAAAUGCGUAGAUAUCAGGAGGAACACCAAUAGCGAAGGCAGCUCGCUGGGACGGUACUGACGCUAAGGCGCGAAAGCGUGGGGAGCGAACAGG
rnacentral:rRNA from 1 species